GCCGGGCGUGGUGGCGCAUGCCUGUAAUCCCAGCUACUUGGGAGGCUGAGGCAGGAGAAUUGCUUGAACCCAGGAGGCAGAGGUUGCAGUGAGCCAAGAUCGCACCACUGCACUCCAGCCUGGGUGACAGAGCAAGAUUCUGUCUCAA
rnacentral:SRP_RNA from 1 species